rnacentral:rRNA from 1 species
ACUUCGUGCCUAAUUACAUGCAAGUCGAGCGGACAGAUGGGAGCUUGCUCCCUGAUGUUAGCGGCGGACGGGUGAGUAACACGUGGGUAACCUGCCUGUAAGACUGGGAUAACUCCGGGAAACCGGGGCUAAUACCGGAUGGUUGUUUGAACCGCAUGGUUCAAACAUAAAAGGUGGCUUCGGCUACCACUUACAGAUGGACCCGCGGCGCAUUAGCUAGUUGGUGAGGUAACGGCUCACCAAGGCAACGAUGCGUAGCCGACCUGAGAGGGUGAUCGGCCACACUGGGACUGAGACACGGCCCAGACUCCUACGGGAGGCAGCAGUAGGGAAUCUUCCGCAAUGGACGAAAGUCUGACGGAGCAACGCCGCGUGAGUGAUGAAGGUUUUCGGAUCGUAAAGCUCUGUUGUUAGGGAAGAACAAGUACCGUUCGAAUAGGGCGGUACCUUGACGGUACCUAACCAGAAAGCCACGGCUAACUACGUGCCAGCAGCCGCGGUAAUACGUAGGUGGCAAGCGUUGUCCGGAAUUAUUGGGCGUAAAGGGCUCGCAGGCGGUUUCUUAAGUCUGAUGUGAAAGCCCCCGGCUCAACCGGGGAGGGUCAUUGGAAACUGGGGAACUUGAGUGCAGAAGAGGAGAGUGGAAUUCCACGUGUAGCGGUGAAAUGCGUAGAGAUGUGGAGGAACACCAGUGGCGAAGCGACUCUCUGGUCUGUAACUGACGCUGAGGAGCGAAAGCGUGGGGGAGCGAACAGGAUUAGAUACCCUGGUAGUCCACGCCGUAAACGAUGAGUGCUAAGUGUUAGGGGGUUUCCCGCCCCCUUAGUGCUGCAGCUAACGCAUUAUGCACUCCGCCCUGGGGGAGUACGGUCGCAAGACUGAAACUCAAAGGAAUUGACGGGGGCCCGCACAACCGGUGGAGCAUGUGGUUUAAUUCAAGCAACGCGAAAGAACCAUUACCAGGUCUUGACAUCCUCUGACAUCCUAGAGAUAUGACGUCCCCUUCGGGGGCAGAGUGGACAGUGGUGCAAGGGUGGUCGUCCAUCUUCGUGUUCAUGGA